rnacentral:tRNA from 1 species
GCCUUGAUGGUGGAAUUGGUAGACACGACAGACUUAAAAUCUGUUGAACAUUUAAAGUUCGUGUGGGUUCGAGUCCCAUUCUAGGCA